rfam:Frateuria aurantia DSM 6220, complete genome.
ACCGCGCCUAGGCUGAUCCCCGAACGUCUGGACACCCUGCCAGGCUGGCGCGGUACCUUUUCAGGG